UACGAAGGGGGCUAGCGUUGUUCGGAAUUACUGGGCGUAAAGCGCACGUAGGCGGAUUGUUAAGUCAGAGGUGAAAUCCCGGAGCUCAACUUCGGAACUGCCUUUGAUACUGGCAAUCUCGAGUCCGGAAGAGGUUAGUGGAAUUCCCAGUGUAGAGGUGAAAUUCGUAGAUAUUCGCAAGAACACCAGUGGCGAAGGCGGCUCACUGGCCCGGUACUGACGCUGAGGUGCGAAAGCGUGGGGAGCAAACAGG
rnacentral:rRNA from 1 species